UAGUAGUAGUAGCAGUAUUACAAAGGUUGAGCAAUAUUUUAGUAACUAUCCAUAUGUCUCACCCUAAGAUACCACCAUGAACUAUUACUCAUUACCACAGACUUCUUGUGGGCAAAGGUACCAUAACUAGUUGUCACUCUGCCUUUGCUGUCCCUUAAAGUAAGUACAUAUACUCUGCAUGUGACAGUAAAGGUUUGCCACUUGGACUACUUUGUUUUUGAAUCUCAUAAUUCCCAUUGAUAUUAGGGAGCCCAGGGCCAUGGCAGCAUCUUCAACUAACAUGGCUCACCUUCAGAGGACAACCGUAACUAGACUUCUCAAAAUUCUGGAACCCUCCAACCAAGUACAUUCCUUAUUGCCUAACUGAAGGUAGUGUCCCCUGCCCAAUCUCCAGGGUACAUAGUCAUGUGAUGGAUUCUCAAAUACUACACAAUAAUACAGAAAUACAUUCUCAUUUUUCUGAGUAUUCUGAUUCUUCAUAUCAGGCCAAUAAAGUUCUGGCAUGUUAACUCUGUUUAAUGGAUAUCCAUUAUAAGAUUCAAGGAACCAUCUUGCUUACAAAGAUUCAACAAAACCUCCCAACAAAUUAUCACAACCAGCUCCAGGUAUCUUUGAAGAACAAUGAAUUUCAAGUCAAAGAUAUUUGGAUUUUUCACCAGUGAAGGCACUUCCGCCUCCCAAUUAAGAAAUGAAAGCUGAAAUGCCUUCACCUGUUCUCAUAUGACUCACCAAAUAUUUGUGAAGAAAUUGGAGAUUAAUUUCUUAUUCGGAUCCAUCCUACAAUGAAGUCAUAAAUAAUAGCAAAUUUGUAACAUCACAUUAAUCUCCAUGACAACAGGCUUACUGCGCAAACAGAAGAUUAUGACCUCAUGAGAGAAUCAAACAGAGAGUGAGUUGCAAGGAAGAAAGCUCAUUUUCAAACUCAUAUAAUCUACAGUAAUUGUACUGGGAAUACAGGCAAAGCCGAGCAAAGCAAAUUGCUUUUCAUAGAAAUAUUUUGUUUUUGUUUUUUUUUAAGUUUUUCCACAAUGAAAAUCUUUCCGUAAAUUGCAUGGAGUGUGUGACAUAAGGCAAUUUUAAUACAUAGCCAAUGUGCGAUAAGCAAUCUGAGACAUAAAAGUUCGAACUGAGACUGACAGCAUCAAGAGAGAAACACUAUAUG
rnacentral:lncRNA from 1 species